CAAGAAAUCUAGGGAUAAGGUGUGUAUUCAAGCUAUUCAGCUAUUGAAAAUUUUGACAUAGAGUGAGAGUUCCCAGACUUCUCUCUGGAAUAAAUGUCUUAAGAUCAUUAAUUCAAAAGAUGAUAGGAGUUCCCACUGUGGCACAGUGGGUUAAUGAUCCAGUUUUGCCAUUGCCACAGAUGUGGCAUAGGUCAAAGAUGCGGCUUGGAUUCUUCCAUCCCUGGCCUGGGAACUUCCAUAUGCCACGGGUGCAGCCAAAAACUGGAAAUAAGAAGUAGUAUUGAUCUGAAUCUAGCAGUUCCUGGUGUGUGUGUGUGUGUGUGUGUGUGUGUGUGUGUAAUUCAUCUCCUUGUUUUAUAAUCAGAUAUUAUACUAGAUGUGGCAUUUGAAUUGUGUUUAAACUAGAUGAUUUUCCUGAAUCUUUAAAUAAAUGUAUUUUGAUUCAUUGUUGACUUUCACUCCCCCAAAUUAUAAUUGCUGCUGUUUUUGACUUCAUGGCCUUUCCCACAGUUUGUCAUCCUCGAGAAAUCUACUGACUUUUCCAAGGGGGUGGCAUUUCAGCAAUGUUUUGUGCUGCUCCCCAUCCCUCUGCGCCUCUCCAGUCUAUCAUGUGCUCUCAUCACCUUGCACCUACCUCUCUCACAGCAUCUGCAAGUUACAUCAUGUUCCGUCUUUACUGUGUGUGUGCUUGAGGAGCUGGUGCCUUGAGAGCUGGCACUGUUGUGCAUAUCAUUUCAUCCCCAGCUAGACACUGUAUGUUAAACACAUGAUUGGAUACAGUGGUGGGGAUAACUGCAGAGAGAGCCUGGGCCUUUAAUUGGGUGAGCCUUGGUCACCAGGUAGAAAAACUUGGAGUUCCCGUCAUGGCUCAGUGGUUAACGAAUCCGACUAGGAACCAUGAGGUUGUGAGUUCGAUCCCUGGCCUCGCUCAGUGGGUUAAGGAUCUGGUGUUGCCGUGAGCUGUGGUGUAGGUCGCAGACGUGGCUUGGAUCCUGUGUUGCUGUGGCUCUGGCAUAGGCCGGCGGCUACAGCUCCGAUUAGACCCCCAGCCUGGGAACCUCCAUGUGACAUGGGUGUGGCCCUAGAAAAGACCAAAAAAAAGAAAAAGAAAAAAAAAGUAAAUCUUAGUGUUGAGUUCAGUGGUCAGUGGCAGAACUAAUGGUGUUUGCAAGAGAGGUGAUAGGGUUGUACCUCUCAUUAAGGAGAUUAAGUGUUGUAUGAGGUGAAAUAGAAAACUGAGAUAGGAAUGGAAAAUAAGGAUAAAACUAACAAAUAAGGAUAAGGUUAGAAUGGUCUGGGUUGUUGUAUUGGUGUGGUGAUAAUAGAAAAAGAAAAGAGACAUAUUUUGAAAUAGAAUUUAUCAGAAUGGUAACUGACAUCCAACAGCCAUUUAUUCAUUCAACUGCUUGCACAGUCUGACAUGCUGGGCGCUAUGUUAGGCAUGGGUGGUAAGGGACACAGGACAAGCCUGCGGAGCAGGUUUGAAGAGUAGGUGACCUGUAGCAUGGUGAUGCUGCUCCAUGUGUGGUAAAGCCAGGAAGGAGGAACUGGUUCUGUUGGACAGUCUUGUUAGCUUUUGGACCAGUAGAGUUUGAGCUGCAGAAGGAUGUUCAGCAGAGUAUGGUUGGCAUGGAUUUUGGGUUUAAACUGUGUGGAGGUUGUAGUUGAAGCCACAGGAAUAAAACAUUGCAAGAAUUAGAUUCUGUGUUGUUUGUACCUUAAGUCACUCUCCGUGUGGUAUGGCACAGAGGCCAAGGGUUUCUGAAAGCCCUCCUCCUCUCACAGGCAGGGCCAUAGACACCAGGACUGAGAAAUGAAGACAGAAGUUAGGUGAGAGAAGAGGGCAGGUGGAAGGUCGAUGAAGUGAAGAUGGAGGGCUGAAGAACUGCUUAUUAUAUUGUAUCUGUUUCUUAUUUCACUUUUCUAAAUUGGUUUUUGUGAUGGUUAAUUUCAUGUGUCACCUUGGCCAGGCUGUGGUGCUCAGGUGUUUGGUCAAACACCAGUCGAGAGGUUGCUGUGGAGGUAUUUUUUCAGAUGUGAUCAACAUUUAAAUCAGUCGACUUGGAGUACAGCUGGUUUCACUCCAUCGUGUGUUUACAGGGUCUCAUUCUAUCAGUUGAAGGUCUUAAGAGCGCUUUGUGCUCCUGCCCGCACACCCCCAGGAAGAGGCAAUUCUGCCUCCAGACAGCUCUUCCUGGGGUCUCCAGCCUGCCCUGCAGAUUUCAGACCUGCCAGCCCUGCAACUACCAUGAACCUGUUUCUUAAAAUAAAUGUCUCUCUCUGGAUAGAUGGAUGGAUGGACAUCCACCCCCGUCCCAUGUUACAUACAUAUACACAUAUCCUAUUGGUUCUUUUUCUUUGGAGAACUCUAAUACAGAUUUCAGAAUAACUAGAGUUAAGUUGUAUUUUCUGUUUACUGAGCUUGUUCUCCAGCAUUUAGCUUUCCCCGGGAUUUUUGAGUCCUUUGCAGACAGUUCUCCAUUCUCAGACAGUGUCCGGUUCUCCUCUUGCUCAGUUGGUACCCGUGUGCACCCCUCUUGGUCAUCACAUUACUUUAAUUGUUGGCCUGUGUGCUUGUUUCCCCAAAUGAAUCCUGCAUGCUUCCUGCAACUUGCUCCUACUAGCUUGUGUAGCUUGGGUAGCCAGCCUAGUGGGCACAUAAGAAUUUGUCACUGUGUGUCUAUUAAGUGAAAGCGUUUAGCUCUGACUGGUAUUAGAAAGACCUCAAAAGGAGAAGCACUAAAAUGGGAAGACAUGUGACCAAAAAGAACCAGAGAGGCUGGCAAGCACAUUGGCAGCAUUUUCUGGAUUAUAGUCUAGUAUUGGAUGGCAGGCAUGAAAUGUAUCAUGGUCACAAUAUCCAAUCAGUAUUUCUUUUUCAAUUUAUCAAAUAUUUAUUCAGUUAUGACUAUUCAUGCCUUCAUCAAUCAUGGCCAAAUAAAGCUGGGCUUUAAAAUAUUUCUUUGGAAGUUCCCAUUGUGCCUCAGUGGGUUACAAGCCUGACUAAUAUCUAUGAGGAUGUGGGUUCAAUCCCUGGCCUCACUCAGUGGUUAAGGAUCCAGUGUUGCUGUGAGCUGCAGUAUAGGUUCACAGAUGUGGCUUGGAUCAAGAGUUGCUGUGGCGUAAGCCAGCAGCUGUAACUCUGAUUUGACCCCUAGCCUGGGAAUUUCCAUAUGCCAUGGGUGUGGC
rnacentral:lncRNA from 1 species